CCAGCUACCGCGGUCACACGAUUAACCCUAGCUAAUAGAGAUCGGCGUAGAGGGUGUUUAAGAUCUGACACAAUAAAGCUAAACUCCAUCUAAACUGUAAAACCCUAGCUGAUGUAAAAUAAACUACGAAAGUGGCUUUAAAACUUCUGAACACACAAUAGCCAAGACCCAAACUGGGAUUAGACACCCUACUAUGCUUGGCCCUAAACCUCAGUAGUUAAAUAACAAAACUACUCGCCAGAAUACUACAAGCAACAGCUUGAAACUCAAAGGACUUGACGGUGCUUUACACCCCCUAGAGGAGCCUGUUCCCUAAUCGAUAAACCCCGAUCCACCCCACCCUCUAUUGCUCAGCCUAUAUACCGCCAUCUUCAGCAAACCCUGAUGAAGGCCACAAAGUGAGCGCAAACGCCACCACCGCGAAGACGUUAGGUC
rnacentral:rRNA from 1 species